rnacentral:snRNA from 1 species
GGGCUUAUUUCAGUAGCACAUAUACUAAAAUUGGAACCAUACAGAGAAGAUUAGCAUGGCUCCUGUGUGAAGAUGAUGCACAAAAUAUUAGGCACUCGGGAUUAACAU